GAUGAAGAACGUAGCGAAAUGCGAUAAGUAAUGUGAAUUGCAGAAUUCAGUGAAUCAUCGAAUCUUUGAACGCACAUUGCGCCCGCCAGUAUUCUGGCGGGCAUGCCUGUUCGAGCGUCAUUUCAACCCUCAGGCCCCCAGUGCCUGGCGUUGGGGAUCGGCGCGGCGCCCUCCGGGGCGCUGCCGGCCCCGAAAUUCAGUGGCGGUCUCGCUGUAGCCCUCCUCCGCGUAGUAGCACAACCUCGCGGCCUGGAGCUCGGCGGUGGCCAUGCCGUAAAACACCCAACUCUUCUGAAGUUGACCUCGAAUCAGGUAGGAAUACCCGCUGAACUUAAGCAUAUCAAUAAGCGGAGGA
rnacentral:misc_RNA from 1 species